rnacentral:rRNA from 1 species
CAUGCAAGUCGAGCGGUAGAGGGAAGCUUGCUUCUCUUGAGAGCGGCGGACGGGUGAGUAAUGCCUAGGAAUCUGCCUGGUAGUGGGGGAUAACGUUCGGAAACGGACGCUAAUACCGCAUACGUCCUACGGGAGAAAGCAGGGGACCUUCGGGCCUUGCGCUAUCAGAUGAGCCUAGGUCGGAUUAGCUAGUUGGUGAGGUAAUGGCUCACCAAGGCGACGAUCCGUAACUGGUCUGAGAGGAUGAUCAGUCACACUGGAACUGAGACACGGUCCAGACUCCUACGGGAGGCAGCAGUGGGGAAUAUUGGACAAUGGGCGAAGGCCUGAUUCCAGCCAUGCCGCGUGUGUGAAGAAGGUCUUCGGAUUGUAAAGCACUUUAAGUUGGGAGGAAGGGCAUUUACCUAAUACGUAAGUGUUUUGACGUUACCGACAGAAUAAGCACCGGCUAACUCUGUGCCAGCAGCCGCGGUAAUACAGAGGGUGCAAGCGUUAAUCGGAAUUACUGGGCGUAAAGCGCGCGUAGGUGGUUCGUUAAGUUGAAUGUGAAAUCCCCGGGCUCAACCUGGGAACUGCAUCCAAAACUGGCGAGCUAGAGUAGGGUAGAGGGUGGUAGAAUUCCACGUGUAGCAGUGAAAUGCGUAGAGAUGUGGAGGAAUACCGAUGGCGAAGGCAGCCCCCUGGGAUAACACUGACGCUCAUGCACGAAAGCGUGGGGAGCAAACAGGAUUAGAUACCCUGGUAGUCCACGCCCUAAACGAUGUCAACUAGUUGUCGGGACUUAAUUGUCUUGGUAACGCAGCUAACGCGUGAAGUUGACCGCCUGGGGAGUACGGUCGCAAGAUUAAAACUCAAAGGAAUUGACGGGGACCCGCACAAGCGGUGGAUGAUGUGGAUUAAUUCGAUGCAACGCGAAAAACCUUACCUACCCUUGACAUGGUUGGAAUCCUGAAGAGAUUUGGGGAGUGCUCGCAAGAGAACCAAUACACAGGUGCUGCAUGGCUGUCGUCAGCUCGUGUCGUGAGAUGUUGGGUUAAGUCCCGCAACGAGCGCAACCCUUGUCAUUAAUUGCCAUCAUUUGGUUGGGCACUUUAAUGAGACUGCCGGUGACAAACCGGAGGAAGGUGGGGAUGACGUCAAGUCCUCAUGGCCCUUAUGGGUAGGGCUUCACACGUCAUACAAUGGUACAUACAGAGGGUUGCCAAGCCGCGAGGUGGAGCUAAUCCCAGAAAGUGUAUCGUAGUCCGGAUUGGAGUCUGCAACUCGACUCCAUGAAGUGGAAUCGCUA